rnacentral:pre_miRNA from 1 species
CUCAGAUCAGAAGGUGAUUGUGGCUUUGAGUAGAUCUUAAUCAGCCACAGCACUGCCUGGUCAGAAAGAG